AUUGAACGCUGGCGGCAGGCUUAACACAUGCAAGUCGAGCGGAGCGAGGGUGCUUGCACCUUGGCUUAGCGGCGGACGGGUGAGUAAUGCUUAGGAAUCUGCCUAUUAGUGGGGGACAACAUUCCGAAAGGAAUGCUAAUACCGCAUACGCCCUACGGGGGAAAGCAGGGGAUCUUCGGACCUUGCGCUAAUAGAUGAGCCUAAGUCGGAUUAGCUAGGUGGUGGGGUAAAGGCCUACCAAGGCGACGAUCUGUAGCGGGUCUGAGAGGAUGAUCCGCCACACUGGGACUGAGACACGGCCCAGACUCCUACGGGAGGCAGCAGUGGGGAAUAUUGGACAAUGGGCGGAAGCCUGAUCCAGCCAUGCCGCGUGUGUGAAGAAGGCCUUUUGGUUGUAAAGCACUUUAAGCGAGGAGGAGGCUACUUAGAUUAAUACUCUGGGAUAGUGGACGUUACUCGCAGAAUAAGCACCGGCUAACUCUGUGCCAGCCGCCGCCGUAAUAC
rnacentral:rRNA from 1 species